rnacentral:rRNA from 2 species
UGGGGAAUAUUGCACAAUGGGCGAAAGCCUGAUGCAGCAACGCCGCGUGAGCGAUGAAGGCCUUCGGGUCGUAACGCUCUGUCCUCAAGGAAGAUAAUGACGGUACCUAAGGAGGAAGCCACGGCUAACUACGUGCCAGCAGCCGCGGUAAUACGUAGGUGGCAAGCGUUGUCCGGAUUUACUGGGCGUAAAGGGAGCGUAGGUGGAUAUUUAAGUGGGAUGUGAAAUACCCGGGCUUAACCUGGGUGCUGCAUUCCAAACUGGAUAUCUAGAGUGCAGGAGAGGAAAGGAGAAUUCCUAGUGUAGCGGUGAAAUGCGUAGAGAUUAGGAAGAAUACCAGUGGCGAAGGCGCCUUUCUGGACUGUAACUGACACUGAGGCUCGAAAGCGUGGGGAGCAAACAGG